rnacentral:rRNA from 1 species
UAGGGAAUCUUCGGCAAUGGACGGAAGUCUGACCGAGCAACGCCGCGUGAGUGAAGAAGGUUUUCGGAUCGUAAAGCUCUGUUGUAAGAGAAGAACGAGUGUGAGAGUGGAAAGUUCACACUGUGACGGUAUCUUACCAGAAAGGGACGGCUAACCACGUGCCAGCAGCCGCGGUAAUACGUAGGUCCCGAGCGUUGUCCGGAUUUAUUGGGCGUAAAGCGAGCGCAGGCGGUUAGAUAAGUCUGAAGUUAAAGGCUGUGGCUUAACCAUAGUACGCUUUGGAAACUGUUUAACUUGAGUGCAAGAGGGGAGAGUGGAAUUCCAUGUGUAGCGGUGAAAUGCGUAGAUAUAUGGAGGAACACCGGUGGCGAAAGCGGCUCUCUGGCUUGUAACUGACGCUGAGGCUCGAAAGCGUGGGGAGCAAACAGGAUUAGAUACCCUGGUAGUCCACGCCGUAAACGAUGAGUGCUAGGUGUUAGACCCUUUCCGGGGUUUAGUGCCGCAGCUAACGCAUUAAGCACUCCGCCUGGGGAGUACGACCGCAAGGUUG